rnacentral:rRNA from 1 species
UACGGGGGGAGCAAGCGUUGUUCGGAUUUACUGGGCGUAAAGGGCGCGUAGGCGGCGUGACAAGUCACUUGUGAAAUCUCCGGGCUUAACUCGGAGCGGCCAAGUGAUACUGUCGUGCUAGAGUGCGGAAGGGGCUACUGGAAUUCUCGGUGUAGCGGUGAAAUGCGUAGAUAUCGAGAGGAACACCUGCGGCGAAGGCGGGUAGCUGGGCCGACACUGACGCUGAGGCGCGAAAGCGUGGGGAGCGAACAGG